GUAACUUCAACUGAUUAAUUGAUCGCAAGCAUUUAUAUCUCACCUUUAUUUUCAGAAGAGCCCNGGUCACCCAAGCCACGCAGAGCCAGGCGAGGAUUUGAACCCCAGCCCCGUCCUCCAGUCGCAACGCUGACCAGGGGAUGCUACCCAGCUUCGGGCUGCCUUCAGAAGGGAAACGAGGGGAGGGAAGGCGCAGGGCGGACAGCUAAAAGGUCACGCUGGAGGNGUGUCGGCUUCUUCUGAGGACGGUCCAAGCACCUGAGAGCCCCGAGGCAGAGCUGUCGGACGCCCCACCGGGUGUCGGGUGGCCGCCCAUCUCUUUGGNGCUCCCAGGGAACAGGCCGUGAGGAGCAGCACAGGCUGUGCGUUCCAGAAGGCCCACGCUGGCCUUCCGGCUCCUCCCGAAGAUAACCGGCCUCUCCCCCGCACUGCUGCAAGACCAGCUGCCCUGCUUUGGACGCCCUCUGGGGAGCUUUGCCAGCCCCUCUGCGGCCCCUUGGAGGACUCGCCCCAGCAGGCGCAAGCGGGGACCUUCGCAAGGAUGCCGGGUUGGCUGCUGGGCCUUGCCUUGGCCUCGCUGUGUGUGGCCCGCGCUGCAGUGAGAAGAGGCCGCGAUCAGCCGGACUUCGACGUCCAACAGGCUGAACGGGUGACCCCUUCCCACGCACGACUUCCUGAGCAAAGGCACCUCCUGGGGGCCUCAGCACCACGCCCUGACCUCUUCAGCUGCGUGGUCCGGGAGGACCUUUCGGGGUGAAGGCAGCCCUGAGCUGUGUCCGACGCACGCAGCUCAGCGUCCUUCCUUUGGCCCAGCAACGGAGGUCGGGUUGAGCCCUCUGCGCAAAACCAUGCAACACGGCUUGUGACUUGGGGGAAUUCUGCCGCCGACCCAUUCAGGUGGGGCAGGGGACCAGAGGCCCUCAAAAGGUCCUGCUCCAGUUUUCAGGGAAGUGGUUCCCCAUCGCGGUGGCAACGGCAGGUGCCCUGGAGAAGGUGGUUUACCCCUACACGGUCGAGCCUGUGAGCAACGGAGACCUCAUCCUCAAAACAGAGAUCCCCGGGAAAGGGCGCUGCAAGGAAGGAAGGCACAAUUUGCACGCAAUCCAGAGCGCCGUUUUUGAAACAUCAGGGAAGUAUACUCACAAUUUCCUAAAUCUCGCCUUUCCUUGUUUAACCUGGGACACUGCUGUUACUCCUUUCCUGUGGAACCUGAAAAAGGAAGUGGGAAACAAGGUUGCUACUUGCACUGCGGACCGUCAGUCUCUCCUUUUGCAAACUGCUUUGCAACCUGAUAAUGUACAAAAAGCAAAAGGGGCAGAUUGUGUUAUGCCGGGAAGCAAAAGACACUCAGCUUCUGCUCCCUCUGGUGGUGACAUUGGGGCGGUGCUGGUUCAGGCUGACGGGAGAUGUANUCCAGUANCAUCUGCAGGGNGUGCGUUUGGGGUGCCAGUGGCUCCCCGAGACUGGAAGCAGACGGACUUCCAGAUAUGAUUGGACUCACUUCCCCCUGGAGGAUUGGGGCAGACGCUACCCACAUCUAGUGGGUCAUUUUAGUUGUGCAAAAUAGUGGCGUUCUAGUACCUAAAGAAAUGUUACUGCCUAUUUAAAACCUGGAGGGGAGGGGCUGUAGCUCAGNGGUAGAGCAAACUGCCUGGAAAGCCGAGCGUUGCCGGUUCGGUCCCCAGCCUCUCCCCAGAUGUAGGCAGUGGCAAACCUCUUCUGUACCUCUGCCAAGAAAACUGCAUAGAGGGGCCCAUGCAGUCAACNAGGAGNAGGCCAUGACUCGGUGGNAUCCAACAACAAUGAAANCUGGAGGCACAUUUAACUUUGUGCACUCUAGAGAACAUUGAUAUGUGUCCGCCAUUAAANUCUGGUAGAGAAACUCAGCUUGGCUUCCAAGCCUGAGAAAUCUUUCCUUCGAACAGAUGGAAUUUCUGUUUCAACAGACAGCUCCAACGUGCUUCACGUACUGCAGACCGAUUAUGUCACCUACCACAUGGCUCUCUUCGAAAAGGGCCUGGAGAAGUCCUUCUUCCUAUACGGUGCAUACUGGAGGCGGAUGAGGGCAAGCAAUGCUGGCUGACACGGGUGGGUGCGAAUGGGGCUCCUCCACCUGUGCACCAGGCCUGCGUUGGCCCUCAAAGGGAGCCUGCGAACCGGUGCAUGGCGGAGGCAAAGACCUUCCCUCUGCAUCCGCUCUUGCUGGCCGUCCCUGCAGACUAACAUGUCUGUUCGUGGAAGCUUUUC
rnacentral:lncRNA from 1 species